rnacentral:rRNA from 1 species
AACGAACGCUGGCGGCAUGCCUAACACAUGCAAGUCGAACGAGACCUUCGGGUCUAGUGGCGCACGGGUGCGUAACGCGUGGGAACCUGCCCUUAGGUUCGGAAUAACUCCCCGAAAGGGGUGCUAAUACCGGAUAAUGUCAUCGGACCAAAGAUUUAUCGCCUUUGGAUGGGCCCGCGUUGGAUUAGCUAGUUGGUAGGGUAAAAGCCUACCAAGGCGACGAUCCAUAGCUGGUCUGAGAGGAUGACCAGCCACACUGGGACUGAGACACGGCCCAGACUCCUACGGGAGGCAGCAGUGGGGAAUAUUGGACAAUGGGCGAAAGCCUGAUCCAGCAAUGCCGCGUGAGUGAUGAAGGCCUUAGGGUUGUAAAGCUCUUUUACCCGGGAUGAUAAUGACAGUACCGGGAGAAUAAGCUCCGGCUAACUCCGUG